rnacentral:rRNA from 1 species
UACGAAGGGGGCUAGCGUUGCUCGGAAUGACUGGGCGUAAAGGGCGCGUAGGCGGCGAUCAAGGUCAGAUGUGAAAUUCCUGGGCUUAACCUGGGGGCUGCAUUUGAUACGUGGUGGCUUGAGUGCGGAAGAGGGUCGUGGAAUUCCCAGUGUAGAGGUGAAAUUCGUAGAUAUUGGGAAGAACACCCGUGGCGAAGGCGGUUCUCUGGGACGGUACUGACGCUGAGACGCGAAAGCGUGGGGAGCGAACAGG